UACGUAGGUCCCGAGCGUUGUCCGGAUUUAUUGGGCGUAAAGCGAGCGCAGGUGGUUUAUUAAGUCUGGUGUAAAAGGCAGUGGCUCAACCAUUGUAUGCAUUGGAAACUGGUAGACUUGAGUGCAGGAGAGGAGAGUGGAAUUCCAUGUGUAGCGGUGAAAUGCGUAGAUAUAUGGAGGAACAACGGUGGCGAAAGCGGCUCUCUGGCCUGUAACUGACACUGAGGCUCGAAAGCGUGGGGAGCAAACAGG
rnacentral:rRNA from 1 species